CCUACGGGCGGCAGCAGUGGGGAAUAUUGGACAAUGGGGGGAACCCUGAUCCAGCCAUGCCGCGUGUGUGAAGAAGGCCCUCGGGUUGUAAAGCACUUUCAGUGAGGAAGAACGCCUGGUGGUUAAUACCCAUCAGGAAAGACAUCACCCACAGAAGAAGCACCGGCUAACUCCGUGCCAGCAGCCGCGGUAAUACGGAGGGUGCGAGCGUUAAUCGGAAUUACUGGGCGUAAAGCGCGCGUAGGUGGCUUGAUAAGCCGGUUGUGAAAGCCCCGGGCUCAACCUGGGAACGGCAUCCGGAACUGUCAAGCUAGAGUGCAGGAGAGGAAGGUAGAAUUCCCGGUGUAGCGGUGAAAUGCGUAGAGAUCGGGAGGAAUACCAGUGGCGAAGGCGGCCUUCUGGACUGACACUGACACUGAGGUGCGAAAGCGUGGGUAGCAAACAGGAUUAGAUACCCCAGUAGUC
rnacentral:rRNA from 1 species